ensembl:lncRNA
GACUGAGGAGUUCUUCCUACACACUGGGAGAAGUACCUACAGACAGGCUUUCCAGACCCACAGCAAGCCUAACCACCGUGGAACACAGGAAAGAAGUAGAAGACAGGAAACAGGAAAGGGCCAAGGUCACAGCAGAGAAGCAACUUCUCGCACACGGACUUUGCCUUAAGUCUUGUUGGCUGGACCACAGAGUAACCCCCUACAAAGGACAUUAGGAAAUAAGCUUCAAGCAAAUGCUACCAUCUGCAGUAAAAUUGAAGUUCUGUCAGGGAAAAGAAGAGAAGGAUGUCAUAUCGAAGAGCAUCACCAGGAUCUCUCCGCUGGACUUUCCAUCCCUUGGUUUCAGGAAAUAGUUUCUGGUGCUAAAAAACACAAAAGCCCAGUUCUAGAGCAUAGUGGCAGGCCCUGGCUGCUAAGCCAUCCUGUCUCUGUGGGGAGAGCAGAGAGAAGGCUUCAGCCAUGUUACAGAGUGACUGUGUACAGGAGCUGUGAACACGCAGGGGAGAGGCCCAAUACACACAGGACAGCAGGGAAUCCUAUUAACUAUCAAGUGACACCCC